GACGAACGCUGGCGGCGUGCUUAACACAUGCAAGUCGAACGGAAAGGCCCUGCUUUUGUGGGGUGCUCGAGUGGCGAACGGGUGAGUAACACGUGAGUAACCUGCCCUUGACUUUGGGAUAACUUCAGGAAACUGGGGCUAAUACCGGAUAGGAGCUCCUGCUGCAUGGUGGGGGUUGGAAAGUUUCGGCGGUUGGGGAUGGACUCGCGGCUUAUCAGCUUGUUGGUGGGGUAGUGGCUUACCAAGGCUUUGACGGGUAGCCGGCCUGAGAGGGUGACCGGCCACAUUGGGACUGAGAUACGGCCCAGACUCCUACGGGAGGCAGCAGUGGGGAAUAUUGCACAAUGGGCGGAAGCCUGAUGCAGCAACGCCGCGUGCGGGAUGACGGCCUUCGGGUUGUAAACCGCUUUCGCCUGUGACGAAGCGUGAGUGACGGUAAUGGGUAAAGAAGCACCGGCUAACUACGUGCCAGCAGCCGCGGUGAUACGUAGGGUGCGAGCGUUGUCCGGAUUUAUUGGGCGUAAAGGGCUCGUAGGUGGUUGAUCGCGUCGGAAGUGUAAUUUUGGGGCUUAACCCUGAGCGUGCUUUCGAUACGGGUUGACUUGAGGAAGGUAGGGGAGAAUGGAAUUCCUGGUGGAGCGGUGGAAUGCGCAGAUAUCAGGAGGAACACCAGUGGCGAAGGCGGUUCUCUGGGCCUUUCCUGACGCUGAGGAGCGAAAGCGUGGGGAGCGAACAGGCUUAGAUACCCUGGUAGUCCACGCUGUAAACGGUGGGUACUAGGUGUGGGGUCCAUUCCACGGGUUCCGUGCCGUAGCUAACGCUUUAAGUACCCCGCCUGGGGAGUACGGCCGCAAGGCUAAAACUCAAAGGAAUUGACGGGGCCCCGCACAAGCGGCGGAGCAUGCGGAUUAAUUCGAUGCAACGCGUAGAACCUUACCUGGGUUUGACAUGGAUCGGGAGCGCUCAGAGAUGGGUGUGCCUCUUUUGGGGUCGGUUCACAGGUGGUGCAUGGCUGUCGUCAGCUCGUGUCGUGAGAUGUUGGGUUAAGUCCCGCAACGAGCGCAACCCUUGUUCACUGUUGCCAGCACGUUAUGGUGGGGACUCAGUGGAGACCGCCGGGGUCAACUCGGAGGAAGGUGGGGAUGACGUCAAGUCAUCAUGCCCCUUAUGUCCAGGGCUUCACGCAUGCUACAAUGGCUGGUACAGAGAGUGGCGAGCCUGUGAGGGUGAGCGAAUCUCGGAAAGCCGGUCUCAGUUCGGAUUGGGGUCUGCAACUCGACCUCAUGAAGUCGGAGUCGCUAGUAAUCGCAGAUCAGCAACGCUGCGGUGAAUACGUUCCCGGGGCU
rnacentral:rRNA from 1 species